GAUGGAACGCUGGCGGCGUGCUUAACACAUGCAAGUCGAACGAAGACAUCUGAGUGCUUGCACUUGGAUGGACUGAGUGGCGGACGGGUGAGUAACGCGUGGGUAACCUGCCUUAUACAGGGGGAUAACAGUUGGAAACGACUGCUAAUACCGCAUAAGCGCACGGUAUCGCAUGAUACAGUGUGAAAAACUCCGGUGGUAUAAGAUGGACCCGCGUCUGAUUAGCUUGUUGGUGAGGUAACGGCCCACCAAGGCGACGAUCAGUAGCCGGCCUGAGAGGGUGAACGGCCACAUUGGGACUGAGACACGGCCCAAACUCCUACGGGAGGCAGCAGUGGGGAAUAUUGCACAAUGGGGGAAACCCUGAUGCAGCGACGCCGCGUGAGUGAUGAAGUAUUUCGGUAUGUAAAACUCUAUCAGCAGGGAAGAUAAUGACGGUACCUGACUAAGAAGCACCGGCUAAAUACGUG
rnacentral:rRNA from 1 species